AUGCUGUUCAAGGGAUGGGUGGGCUUGGGUAGGAGAGCAAGGGAUUACAUCACAAUGCUCAGAACGGUGCUCAGUUUUUAUUACCUAGGAAUUGUUUGUUGGUAGAACUUUUUUUCUGAUGAUCAAGUGAAACCACAGACAGUAAAAAUGCAGCAACCAGCAGGAGACCAUGAAGAUAUCCAACUUUACUCAACUUCAAGGCCCAGAAUAACUGAGUGUACAAUCAGAUAGUGACCAAUGCUUGCUGUUGUAACGUACAGAGACAUUUGCUACUCUGGGUCAGAUAUCUUCCCUCUUUUGGACUAUUCUGGGGUCUUGGGAUUUAUGAACCACAUGAAAAUAUGGCAGGUCUAUCUUGCUUCCUUGCUGGAAAGAGACAUCCCUGAUACAGACUGACCUGGCAGCAGAGUGAUUUAAUGGAUUCGAGGUAGGAGAAAAGAGGCAGAGAAACCAGCUUAGCUUCUGAUAAAACAGAGAUAAUUGGGAUUUAUCUACAGGGGUUCUUCAGGCUACAUGUGAGAACCGAUGCACACAGGAAUUCUGAGCUUCCUCAUAUUGACUCUACAAGACAAGGGGAUGCAUGCUAUGAGAUAUAUUUUAAAGGUAGAUCUUCAAACAAGGACACAGAUGCAAGUGAUUCGUCCAGAGAAUAGAAUCAGGCUUGUUCUGCUGGCUUUGCAAUGCAUGAGCAUCACUAUGUCCCUCCAUGGACAGACAAGCUGAGAAGUUUCUUGGUGAGGAAGAUCAGAAGGAUUACAUCUGAGUCAUUUCUACAUUUGGUCUUUCUGGAAUUGUGAGCUUCUCUAAGAUGUUCAAAAAUCAAGGAAGGUUUUUCUCUUCUGUAUCCCAUUGUACCAAGAAAUGAAUAUUUGAAACAAGAUAGUUUAUUGUGGUAUCUUUGACAAGCCAAUUAAACUGAGAGAGAAUGACAAGCAUGGAGCUGCAGCCAGGCAUUCAGUUCAGUCUGCAUAAUCUCUUUCAAGGUCUUCAAACAUUUACUCUGGAGAAAUUGGAAGUACUCGGGCUCAUAAGCCAUUAUGAGCCAGUGCACCGUAGCUGAGAGCAGUUUAUUUAGGUUGAGAGAAGAAGCCCAUCAAGAAACCAAGAGCUCAGGGUCAGGAACUUGACUCUGUAGAUAAAG